AUUGAACGCUGGCGGCAGGCCUAACACAUGCAAGUCGAGCGGAUGAAGAGAGCUUGCUCUCUGAUUUAGCGGCGGACGGGUGAGUAAUGCCUAGGAAUCUGCCUGGUAGUGGGGGAUAACGUUCCGAAAGGAACGCUAAUACCGCAUACGUCCUACGGGAGAAAGCAGGGGACCUUCGGGCCUUACGCUAUCAGAUGAGCCUAGGUCGUAUUAGCUAGUUGGUGAGGUAAUGGCUCACAAAGGCUACGAUCCGUAACUGGUCUGAGGGGACGAUCAGUCACACUGGAACUGAGACACGGUCCAGACUCCUACGGGAGGCAGCAGUGGGGAAUAUUGGACAAUGGGCGAAAGCCUGAUCCAGCCAUGCCGCGUGUGUGAAGAAGGUCUUCGGAUUGUAAAGCACUUUAAGUUGGGAGGAAGGGCAGUAAGUUAAUACCUUGCUGUUUUGACGUUACCGACAGAAUAAGCACCGGCUAACUUCGUGCCAGCAGCCGCCGUAAGAC
rnacentral:rRNA from 1 species